AUUGAACGCUGGCGGCAGGCUUAACACAUGCAAGUCGAGCGGGGUGAUGGUGCUUGCACAAUCACUUAGCGGCGGACGGGUGAGUAAUGCUUAGGAAUCUGCCUAUUAGUGGGGGACAACAUCUCGAAAGGGAUGCUAAUACCGCAUACGUCCUACGGGAGAAAGCAGGGGAUCACUUGUGACCUUGCGCUAAUAGAUGAGCCUAAGUCGGAUUAGCUAGUUGGUGGGGUAAAGGCCUACCAAGGCGACGAUCUGUAGCGGGUCUGAGAGGAUGAUCCGCCACACUGGGACUGGGACACGGCCCAGACUCCUACGGGAGGCAGCAGUGGGGAAUAUUUGACAAUGGGGGGAACCCUGAUCCAGCCAUGCCGCGUGUGUGAAGAAGGCCUUAUGGUUGUAAAGCACUUUAAGCGAGGAGGAGGCUCUUUUGGUUAAUACCCAAGAUGAGUGGACGUUACUCGCAGAAUAAGCACCGGCUAACUCUGUGCCAGCCGCCGCGGUAA
rnacentral:rRNA from 1 species